CCUACGGGUGGCAGCAGUGGGGAAUAUUGGACAAUGGGGGGAACCCUGAUCCAGCGACGCCGCGUGAGUGAAGAAGUAUUUCGGUAUGUACAGCUCUAUCAGCAGGGAAGAAAGAAAUGACGGUACCUGACUAAGAAGCCCCGGCUAACUACGUGCCAGCAGCCGCGGUAAUACGUAGGGGGCAAGCGUUAUCCGGAUUUACUGGGGGUAAAGGGAGCGUAGACGGCGAUGCAAGUCUGAAGUGAAAGGCGGGGGCCCAACCUCCGGACUGCUUUGGAAACUGUAUGGCUGGAGUGCAGGAGAGGGAAGUGGAAUUCCUAGUGUAGCGGUGAAAUGCGGAGAUAUUAGGAGGAACACCAGUGGCGAAGGCGGCUUACUGGACUGUAACUGACGUUGAGGCUCGAAAGCGUGGGGAGCAAACAGGAUUAGAUACCCCUGUAGUC
rnacentral:rRNA from 1 species